CAUUGCUCCAAGAUGGCGGCGGCGGCGGCAGCGGGAGCGCAGCUCAGCUGGGCUGGAACUGCCCUCCUGGAACUCCCCCAGCCUGCAACCUAGGAGGUGCAGGGACUGAGGCUCAGGCCAAAUCGCAACUCAGACCCAGUGAACCCAAGGCCUGAAGAGAAUUUGGAUUCAUUUACAUUGUUUUGUGGGGACUGGAGAGACAAGUAAACUCUCAGAGUAACUGUCCCCUCUGACUACCAUUUCUAAGAUGGAGAAACUGAGACGCAGGGAGAUCAAGCACUUCCCGAGGUCACAACAGUGAAUGUUGGAGCUGGGAUGUGAACCUGAGCAGUCUGGCUGAAGAGUCUGCUGUAUUCACCACACAGACGCUCUACUUUUCUGACGUCCCUCUUAGAGCCACAAAGAUGCCAUUCCUUGCCCUCAGGAAUGCUCAAGGUUCCCCCCAUUUCCUCCAGAAUUCCUUCCUUCUUCUCUUCCUCUUCUGUCCAGAGGCUCUAAGGACUCUCACUCACUCAUCCUCUUUCCCAGGGGUACCCCUGGCCCUGCCCCAGUCUCCAGACCCACACUCACACUAGCCAGUCCAC
rnacentral:sRNA from 1 species